rnacentral:rRNA from 1 species
GCAAGUCGGACGCGAACGUUCUCUUCGGAGAACUAUUAGAGUGGCGAAAGGGCGAGGAAUACACGGGUAACGUACCCUUGGCACAAGGAUAGCUACGGGAAACUGUAGGUAAUACUUGAUGAGACCACAGCAUCAUAUGGUGCGGUGAUUAAAGGACGGGGAUCUCUUCGGAGACCUGUUGGCCAGGGAGCGGCCCCUGUGCUAUCAGCUAGUUGGUGAGGUAAUGGCUCACCAAGGCUACGACGGCUACCGGGACUGAGAGGUCGAUC